GCGAAUCAGCCCCAGCCGCCGCGCACAGCAUCGCGCACCGCAACCAGCAGCAGCGCGAAUCAGCCUCAGCGCAGCACAUCAGUCCCGCGCGCGCAGCGCAACAGAUCCGCAACGCAGACCCGCAACGCGAACUGGCUCUCGCACGCAACAGCCCCGCGCGCGCAACACAGCAACGAACCAGCACCCGCAAAGCAAGCCUCAUCAGCGCGCACAACCAGCCCCAACUCGC
rnacentral:lncRNA from 1 species